rnacentral:rRNA from 1 species
AGGAUGAACGCUGGCGGUGUGCCUAAUACAUGCAAGUCGUACGGAAAGGCCCUUCGGGGUACUCGAGUGGCGGACGGCUGAGUAACGCGUGGGAACGUACCCUAAAGUGAGGAAUAACUGCCCGAAAGGGUGGCUAAUGCCGCAUAUGCUCUUCGGAGUAAAGCUUCGGCGCUUUGGGAGCGGCCCGCGUCCGAUUAGCUAGUUGGUAAGGUAAUGGCUUACCAAGGCGACGAUCGGUAGCUGGUCUGAGAGGAUGAUCAGCCAGACUGGGACUGAGAACGGCCCAGACUCCUACGGGAGGCAGCAGUAGGGAAUUUCCACAAUGGGCGCAAGCCUGAUGGAGCAACACCGCGUGCAGGACGAAGGCCCUCGGGUCGUAAACUGCUUUUGUGGGGAAGAAAGCACGUAAGUGUUGACUGUACCCAAGAAUAAGCACCGGCUAACUCUGCGCCAGCACGCCGC